CCUACGGGAGGCUGCAGUGGGGAAUAUUGCACAAUGGGGGGAACCCUGAUGCAGCGACGCCGCGUGAGUGAAGAAGUAUUUCGGUAUGUAAAGCUCUAUCAGCAGGGAAGAAAAUGACGGUACCUGACUACGAAGCCCCGGCUAACUACGUGCCAGCAGCCGCGGUAAUACGGAGGGGGCAAGCGUUAUCCGGAUUUACUGGGUGUAAAGGGGGCGCAGACGGCUGUGCAAGUCUGGAGUGAAAGGCGGGGGCCCAACCCCCGGACUGCUCUGGAAACUGUAAAGCUGGAGUGCAGGAGAGGUAAGCGGAAUUCCUGGUGUAGCGGUGAAAUGCGUAGAUAUUAGGAGGAACACCAGUGGCGAAGGCGGCUUACUGGACUGCAACUGACGUUGAGGCUCGAAAGCGUGGGGAGCAAACAGGAUUAGAUACCCGAGUAGUC
rnacentral:rRNA from 1 species